rnacentral:rRNA from 1 species
GACGAACGCUGGCGGCGUGCCUAAUACAUGCAAGUCGAACGCAGUGGGGACGGGUGAGUAAAACGUGGGUAACCUCCCAUCAGAGGGGAUAACACUUGGCAACAGGUGCUAAACCGCUACUGAUGGAUGGACUAGCGGUGCAUUUGCUGGUUGGUGAGGGAACGGCUCACCAAGGCCACGAUGCAUAGCCGACCUGAGAGGGUGAUCGGCCACACUGGAACUGAGACACGGCCCAGACUCCUACGGGAGGCAGCAGUAGGGAAUCUUCGGCAAUGGGCGAAAGCCUGACCGAGCAACGCCGCGUGAGUGAAGAAGGUUUUCGGAUCGUAAAACUCUGUUAUUAGAGAAGCGGUAUCUAACCAGAAAGCCACGGCUAACUACGUGCCAGCAGCCGCGGUAAUAC